UAGGAAACAACUUUCUUCAACACCAUUGUUUCCCAAAUAUCAACAGCAAGAUGUACUGCAAGCAAAAGGUUAAGACAAAGAAAAACAAGCUGCUUCAACAGGUCCUUCAGAUCCAAAAAAAACGCGCUUAUGCAAAAAUUGUGGACAGCCAAUGAAAGGACAUCCAAAAAGCCAUUGUCCACAA